GAUGAACGCUAGCUACAGGCUUAACACAUGCAAGUCGAGGGGAAACGAUAGAGAAAGCUUGCUUUUUCUAGGCGUCGACCGGCGCACGGGUGAGUAACGCGUAUCCAACCUGCCCACCACUUGGGGAUAACCUUGCGAAAGUAAGACUAAUACCCAAUGAUAUCUCUAGAAGACAUCUGAAAGGGAUUAAAGAUUUAUCGGUGAUGGAUGGGGAUGCGUCUGAUUAGCUUGUUGGCGGGGUAACGGCCCACCAAGGCGACGAUCAGUAGGGGUUCUGAGAGGAAGGUCCCCCACAUUGGAACUGAGACACGGUCCAAACUCCUACGGGAGGCAGCAGUGAGGAAUAUUGGUCAAUGGGCGAGAGCCUGAACCAGCCAAGUAGCGUGCAGGAUGACGGCCCUAUGGGUUGUAAACUGCUUUUAUAAGGGAAUAAAGUGAGUCUCGUGAGACUUUUUGCAUGUACCUUAUGAAUAAGGACCGGCUAAUUCCGUGCCAGCCGCCGCCGUAA
rnacentral:rRNA from 1 species